AAAUUUAAAUUUACUUAGACAUAAUGUCCUCUUAUAAUUUCCUCAUCACUGCUCUCCCAACAAUUACUUUGACAUUUUCUUUUUGUUGCUUCAGCAUCCCUGAACUUGACUACUAUUAUAAUCACUUUUACCAUUGACCCAUCCUCAGUUUGUAAAGUCUGCCCUACACAUAGAUAGACAACCAUCACACACACUCAGACCUACGAGCAAGUUAGAGUGACCAGUGAACCUGAUGCAUGUUUUUGGACCGUGAGAGGAAGCCGCAGAGAACCCACCCGAACAGAUGCAAACUCCACACUGAAACGCACCUGGGGCCCGUUUCAAGAAGGUGGUUUUGUGGAAACUCUGAGUUUGUUAACCCCGAAAUAAGGAAAACUCAGAGUUUUCGGUUUCAGAAAGCGGGGUUACUUAAACCCGUAAAGCGGGGUAAGUUUAAACCCGUUUCAAGAAGCGAGGUAAUGGAAACUCAGAGUCAGUUACUAGCGAGCAGGUUUUAUUCGGGAAACCCAGAGUUUCCUUCGGUCUCCGCCCAUUUUUAAAGUGAACAGUGUUUAAAUACCUCGUUUAAUCUUUCAGUUCAUUCAUAGAUUUCACCUGUUUCCUUCGCGCAGAGACCAAAAUGUCCGUUUCUAGAGGAUCCUGUAGAUGAGGACGAUGUAUAUUAAUUCACACGGCAUUGAAUUUACGCCGCGAGAGGAUUUUGACGCCACGAGUUAAUUUUCUGUCAUAUCGCCGUGCAUAUUUAUUUGAGCGGUACCGUUUUUAUCGAGACUCCAUACAUAUAUUAAUAAUCUUAUUCACCCAUACGUCAAACACAUCACCCAUCGUGACCGCGCUUUUACAUCCGAGCAGAUUCUUUGUGUUGCGUUACGUUUUUUUUUUGCAAACGGUAGUUUUCUUUAUAACAUUUGAGAUGCUGAGCACAUUAGUGAAAUCACUGUAUGUAGAAAAGUUCGACCUCAAGCGCUUUCCUUGACACAAACUCCUUAAAGCCAUUAAAGAGGAGUUUCACAGGAUUGCAGAUCAUAUGUGAUGCUGCACAUAUCAUAAACGUGAACUCAUGAAUAUAUCGUGAUUCAACCUUAAGUAACAGGCUGCACUGUGGUAAGUACAUGUAUGUCCUAUACACUUAUUUCAAUGCAUGCACUCACACUCACAGGAACACUUCUAUGCAGCACUAAAGUAAUGUAAACUUUCUUCUAGGAGAGAUUGACGGCUUUCUGCUGGAGAUAAGGGUUAAUGGCAGCCUACACUACUGACCCCUCACCCAGAACCUGAAGCAGGCCCCCAGCAGCGCUUUAAAGUGGCCCUGCAGAACAAGAGCCCAGGUGGAAAUGACCAUAGACCUGUUGAAAGCACGUCUUCAGUGCCUACGUCACCUCAGGGAAACACCUGAGAGGUGAUGUGAGAGGAGAUGUGUUGUUCUCCACAUUAUUCCAAUAUUAGAGAGGAGCAACACCCUGCCCUACAAAUACAAGACCCUGAGGAGAAUCCUUCCAUUACAGUAAUCUGCAGAGUGGAUGGACAGAUUUGCUUUAAUGUCUUAAUCAACCAUCACCACCACCACCAAUAAAAUAAAUUGAAUAGA